UUAGGACAUAACGUUAGCUAGCUAGCUAACGGUACUGUACUGUAGCUCAUACAACGCCGACGGUCAAACCCGGCUUUCUAAUAUUUACGUUCAUUAACUAUAGUAACGUUAUGGAAGAUAUUCACAGAAAACUAUCAUUGUCUUCGUUAUUGAUUAUUAGUAUGUUAUAUUAUUAUUAUACAUUAUUUCGAGACAUAUUCAGAGCCAAACAUCAACCCAACUUAACCUUUUUAACUGUUGUCGCAUCCAAACUUGUCACCAUCGUUUUCAGUUGUAAUUGCGAAGUUCCCGGAAGAAGUCCAGCAACAACGGAGGUUCCUCGAUGAACCCACCUUCUAACAAGUUCUUUGAAGAACCUUUUGUGGCUGUUUUUUAUUGACCAAGAACCCUACGGUUCUUAGGGGAUCUGAGAACAACUCCAGUUGAACCCUUCAUUUUUAGAGUUGUAGUCGGCUCUAUUUACUCUCAGAUUCAAACAUGAUAAUUAGCAUCAACGAUCAAGUCAGCUGCUGCUGCUCCAAUACAGUAUGAGCCUUCCUCUCCUCUGAAGACCCAGUGAGGGUGGAGCUCAGUCAGAGAGCUGUUGAGGGACUGGUUAGGAAGAACACUUCUACAGCCAGAGAGGGACAGUCAAGAAAUGGAACAGCAAGGCC
rnacentral:lncRNA from 1 species